CUUUCAACGACCGAAUGAUCAUUACAGACUCUGUUUCUAUUGAGAGAUAAAAGGCUGGUUGAAUGAGUUGCCUGUGAAAGCUACUUCAUCUGCAAGAAAACAGGUGGCUGCACCAGUGACUGUCAGAAGUUUUGUGAUUUCCUCAUAUGAACGUGAAAGGGUCAGUGCUCUAAAAUGAGUCUCUCUGGGGAGAGAGAGGAGGGACCUGCCUCUAAAAUGAGACUCUCUGGGGAGAGAGAGGAGGGGGGCCCCGCCUCUAAAAUGAGACUCUCUAGGGAACAUGACACCAAAGCCAAGAGCCCAAUCAAGCAGGAGAGACCAGCCUCCCCUGUAUCCAGCUGUGUGUCCAUGAAGAGUGACCGGUCUAUGGACUAUCCUAUAUUCUUUAGAGAGGGAGACUUUUCUACUGAAC